rnacentral:sRNA from 1 species
AACAGAUUGAGACUUACAAUAUCAUCAUUAAAUAUAAAUUGACAAUUUAUAUUGCAUUAUGCUAAUAUACUAAAAGUAACCGCAUGUGCGGUAGUUGUUUUGUGUCAGGAGGAAUUGGCAUGCAAGGUAAAGUAAAAUGGUUCAGCGCUGAAAAAGGCUACGGCUUCAUCGAACGUGAAGAUGGUGGCGACGUAUUUGUACACUUCUCUGCAAUUCAGGAAGAUGGCUACAAAAGCCUCAGCGAAGGUCAAGAAGUAGAAUUCGACAUUGUCGACGGACCGCGUGGACCGCAAGCUGCGAACGUUUAUAAACGUUAAGAUUUUCUUUUCAAAUAUAAACAUCAAUAAACACAUCCUUCGGGAUGUGUUUUUCGU